AACGAACGCUGGCGGCGCGCUUAACACAUGCAAGUCGAACGAGAAGGCGUCGCAAUACGCUUGUACAGUGGCGAACGGGUGAGGAAUACAUGGGUAACCUACCCUCGAGUGGGGGAUAACCCGCCGAAAGGCGGGCUAAUACCGCGUACGCUUCCGAUCUUGCGGGAUUGGAAGGAAAGCUGUCCCUUGGGGGAUGGCGCUCAAGGAUGGGCUCAUGUCCUAUCAGCUUGUUGGAGGGUAACGGCCUACCAAGGCAUCGACGGGUAGCUGGUCUGAGAGGACGAUCAGCCACACUGGCACUGCGACACGGGCCAGACUCCUACGGGAGGCAGCAGUGAGGAAUAUUGCGCAAUGGGCGAAAGCCUGACGCAGCGACGCCGCGUGGGGGAUGAAGGUCUUCGGAUUGUAAACCCCUUUUCGGGAGGGAAGACGGCCUUAGACAACUAAGGCGGACGGUACCUCCAGAAGCAGCCACGGCUAACUUCGUGCCAGCCGCCGCAGUAAC
rnacentral:rRNA from 1 species